rnacentral:rRNA from 1 species
AAAGAUUAAGCCAUGCAUGUCUAAGCACAUGCCUUAAUACGGUGAAGCCGCGAAUAGCUCAUUACAACAGCCAUCGUUUACUAGAAUAUCGUUAUCCUACUUGGAUAACUGAGGCAAUUCUAGAGCUAAUACAUGCAUCAAAGCUCUGACCGCGAGGAAAGAGCGCAUUUAUUAGAAUAAAAACCAAUCGGGCUUCGGCCUGUUACUUGGUGAAUCUGAAUAACUUUGCCAAUCGCACAGUCCUAGUACUGGCGAUGUAUCUUUCAAGUGUCUGCCUUAUCAACUUUCGAUGGUAGGUUAUACGCCUACCAUGGUAGUAACGGGUAACGGAGAAUAAGGGUUCGACUCCGGAGAGGGAGCCUGAGAAACGGCUACCACAUCCAAGGAAGGCAGCAGGCGCGCAAAUUACCCACUUCCAGAACGGAGAGGUAGUGACGAAAAAUAACGAGACAGUCCUCUUCGAGGUCUGUCAUCGGAAUGGGUACAAUUUAAAUCCUUUAACGAGGAUCUAUUGGAGGGCAAGUCUGGUGCCAGCAGCCGCGGUAAUUCCAGCUCCAAUAGCGUAUAUUAAAGUUGUUGCGGUUAAAACGCUCGUAGUUGGAUUUGCGGCCUUGGAGAACGGUCCCCCGAAAGGGUGGUCACUGUCUCUCCUAGCCUAAAUUCGAGUCGUCUCUAGGUGCUCUUUACUGAGUGCUUAGAGUGACUAGAACGUUUACUUUGAAAAAAUUAGAGUGCUCAAAGCAGGCGAAAUAGCCUGAAUAAGGUGCAUGGAAUAAUGGAAUAGGACCUCGGUUCUAUUUUGUUGGUUUUCGGAACCUGAGGUAAUGAUUAAGAGGAACAGACGGGGGCAUUCGUAUUCCGGCGCUAGAGGUGAAAUUCUUGGACCGCCGGAAGACGGACAACUGCGAAAGCAUUUGCCAAGAAUG